UCUUUUCAAGGGCAUUUUGGAAAAAUUGUAAACCUUUUGGCCUAAGUCACGUGCUAACCCUGCUUUAGUUUUGACACGUUCUUUUGCACCGCUCAAACGACCAGACACUGGUUCUUCCUCCAGCUUUGCGUUUCUACGCUGUUCUUCCUCGAAGUUGUGACAGCUGCUCAACUCCUCUUCCAAUUUCCUUCGUCUCUCUCAAUCUUCUCUUUUCCUGGAAAAUUUAUUCGUGUUGGUUGUACAGUUAUAUGGUGGACAAUCAUUUGAGGCUAUCACAGGAAGAUGGUUGUUUCAAUUAAGGAAGAUGGCUGCACAUUUUAGCUUUCAAUAUGUCACUUCAAGCUUUGUUGCUGCUCUCUAGCAAGCAGAGUAUGUUCAUAGGCUUCUCUUCUAUCUAUACUUAAGAUUGGAUGUCAAUUUUAACUGAACAUAGCCCGAUAUAGUUUGUUCUUUCGUUGCAAAUGUUAUUUGGCUCAAUAUAGAUGUUCAGGUUGCAUCUGCAGGUACGAACAUGCUUCAUAUAAUUAUUCUUCUGAAGGUAUUUUCUUGAGUUCCAAGCCUGAGCUACUACAGUUGAAGAUAUGUUGCAUAAAUACAAUAUGUGAUACAUUAUUGAUAGAAACUUAAUGCGAUCAAAAUCAUCGGAUCACAUGGCUUCUAUCGAUCUGGUUUGGCUGCCCCAGAGGCUGGGUUGGCUUAACGUUCUUUUGAGCAAAACUUUAUGAUGUGUAUAUUUUUUAGUACCCUAGACACCGUUCUAGGUAACUAUUACGUCUCUUGUGGGUUUGUAUAUAUUUGGAAGGACUAGAUUUACUGUUGCUAAAGUAAAUAUUAGUUCAUUCUAUAUGGGACUAGAUGGACUAGAUUUACUGUUACUAAAGUGAUAUUAAUUUCUAUAUCUCAUUAUUUAUUCUUCA